CCACCGCGGUUAGACGAGAGGCCCCAGUUGAUAUUAUAACGGCGUAAAGGGUGGUUAAGGAUAAACAAAAAUAAAGCCAAAUGGCCCCUUGGCCGUCAUACGCUUCUAGGUGUCCGAAGCCCCAACACGAAAGUAGCUUUAACAGACCACCUGACCCCACGAAAGCUGAGAAACAAACUGGGAUUAGAUACCCCACUAUGCUCAGCCAUAAACUUAGACAUCCAGCCACAAUUAGAUGUCCGCCAGGGUACUACGAGCAUUAGCUUAAAACCCAAAGGACCUGACGGUGUCUCAGAUCCCCCUAGAGGAGCCUGUUCUAGAACCGAUAACCCCCGUUAAACCUCACCACUCCUAGCCACCCCAGCCUAUAUACCGCCGUCGUCAGCUUACCCUGUGAAGGAUAUAAAAGUAAGCAAAAUGGGUACAACCCAGAACGUCAGGUCGAGGUGUAGCGCAUGAAGUGGAAAGAAAUGGGCUACAUUUUCUACCACAGAAUAUUACGAACAUGUACCAUGAAAUAGUGCUUGAAGGAGGAUUUAGUAGUAAAAGGGAAAUAGAGUGUCCCUUUGAACCCGGCUCUGAGACGCGUACACACCGCCCGUCACUCUCCCCUGUCAAAACGCAUUAGAAAUACUUAAUACAAAAGCACUGACAAGGGGAGGCAAGUCGUAACACG
rnacentral:rRNA from 1 species